AGAGUUUGAUCAUGGCUCAGAACGAACGCUGGCGGCGUGCUUAACACAUGCAAGUCGAGUGCGCGCCUGUAGCAAUACAGGUGGCGCACGGCGCACGGGUGCGUAACACGUGGGUAACCUGCCCUUUGGUGGGGAAUAACUCCGCGAAAGCGGAGCUAAUUCCGCAUAAGAUCCGCAAGGAUGAAAGCCGAGAGGCGCCGAUGGAGGGGCCCGCGCACGAUUAGCUAGUUGGUAGGGUAACGGCCUACCAAGGCUUUGAUCGUUAGCUGGUCUGAGAGGAUGGCCAGCCACACUGGAACUGAGACACGGUCCAGACUCCUACGGGAGGCAGCAGUGGGGAAUCUUGCACAAUGGGCGAAAGCCUGAUGCAGCGACGCCGCGUGGGGGAUGAAGCAUUUCGGUGUGUAAACCCCUUUCGAUCCGGACGAAUGCCCGCAAGGGAUUGACGGUACGGAUAUAAGAAGCCCCGGCUAACUACGUGCCAGCAGCCGCGGUAAGACGUAGGGGGCCAGCGUUGUUCGGAAUUACUGGGUGUAAAGGGUUCGUAGGCGGUGCGGCAAGUUGGGAGUGAAAUCUCUGGGCUUAACCCAGAGGCUGCUUCCAAAACUGCUGUGCUUGAGUGUGGGAGAGGCGCGUGGAAUUGCAGGUGUAGCGGUGAAAUGCGUAGAUAUCUGCAGGAACACCCGUGGCGAAAGCGGCGCGCUGGACCACUACUGACGCUGAGGAACGAAAGCUAGGGGAGCAAACAGGAUUAGAUACCCUAGUAGUCC
rnacentral:rRNA from 1 species